rnacentral:rRNA from 1 species
AUGGCCGCCAUCGUGGAGACGCGCAAGCGCUGCGCCGCCGCGUUCCUCGACGAGCCGUCCCCGGCGCCGGCCCACCUCGCCAAGCGCGGCCGCGUCACGCCAUGCGCUGGCUCCAUGGCCCCGGCGCCGCCCACGUCUCUGGUGUUCGACCCGCUCGACGCCCUCCGCCACGUAUUCCCGCACGCCGACCCGAGGGGCCUGGAGGCCUGCUUCGCCGCCUCCGGCCGCGACCUGCACGCCACCGUGCAGGCGUACCACGCCCAUCUGGCCAAGGACGAGCUGGCCUCCCGCCUCGCACACGCGGCGGGCGAUGACGAGUGCUGCGCCGGCUUGCUCUUGGAGCAGAUGGCGGCGGCGACCAACGUGCCGGACGCCAAGAACCGGGCGACUUGGAUGCUGGGGGUGAUCAGGAACGCCGGAGCAGAGCGCGCCGUGCGGGAGGCCGCGACGGAGCUGGCAAGGCUGCGCGAGGAGAACGCCGCGCUGAGGGAGCAGGCGGAGCGCAGCGCGACGGAGGGGGCGACACUGCGCGAGGAGAACGCGGCGCUGGCGCAGCGUGCAGCAGCGGCGGAGCCCGACGGCUCGGUGCUUAAGCGCGGCGUCAUGGUGCAGCAGAGGCGGUACGAGGAGACGGAGCGCGCCGCGGCGGCGAUGAAGAAGAAGGUGGCCGAGCUGGAGAUGGCCAACUACGAGCUCGGACUCUGGCUGCGCGACGCCGAGGCCAGCCGCUUCCUGGCGGCCUACCGUGGCCCCGACGUGUUCUAG